UUGAUUAAGUCAGGUCGGGUUUUUAUGGGUCGGUCAGAUUUUAGUUAAUAGGGAAUCACUGUUCACAAAACAUGAUUUACAAAUCUAUAAUUUCGUUUUCAUAAUUGGAUUAGAGAAGAGGAUCAGGGCAGAAUUAAAAAAGGGGGCGUUGUAAAGAGAUAUUAUAUCUUUGGAUGGUUUGGUCAAGAGCUAAGUAAAAUAGGUGAGAAUAGAUAGGGUUGUGGUGUUUACACGGAAGGGGUUUAGGGUUUAGGGUUUAGGCAGUCAUUUCAUUGAUAAAAAAAAAUUUGUGCACGCCCAACAUUUUUGUGAUUUGUAUAAACUCAGUGGCUCACUAUUGUGUUGGAUUAGAAAAAGCUCAUAACACCAACGGUUUAUCGCCUUUGCAUCUGGUGGUCCUCAUAGGCUCGGUUGUAGUUCUAGAAGAGUUCCUGGAAAAGGCUCCAUUGUUCUUCAGAUCCCUCACACGAUCGAAGGAGACAGUCUUUCAUCUCGCUGCACGAAACAAAAACGUAGAUGGCUUCAUUUUCAUGGCAGAGAGGCUGGGCAUUAACAGCCAAAAACUUCUGCAGCAAGUAGAUGUUAAUGGCAAUACUGUCUUACAUAUCGCUGCCUCCAUGUCUUGUGGUGCUCCGAAGGGAAGGAUACAAGUAAAAGACUCCUUUGAAUAGA